rnacentral:rRNA from 1 species
UACGUAGGGGGCAAGCGUUGUCCGGAUUUAUUGGGCGUAAAGAGCGUGUAGGCGGCCAUGUAGGUCCGUUGUGAAAACUCGAGGCUCAACCUCGAGACGCCGAUGGAAACCAUGUGGCUAGAGUCCGGAAGAGGAGAGUGGAAUUCCUGGUGUAGCGGUGAAAUGCGCAGAUAUCAGGAAGAACACCCGUGGCUAAGGCGGCUCUCUAGUACGGUACUGACGCUGAGACGCGAAAGCGUGGGGAGCGAACAGGAU